AUGGGCACAUUCAUAUCUGUUCUAUAAUCAACAACUAUUUCUUAACUGAAUAAAAAGAUACAUUUUGUGUGUGAUGAACCACCACUG